CCUACGGGAGGCAGCAGUGGGGAAUAUUGCACAAUGGAGGAAACUCUGAUGCAGCAACGCCGCGUGAAGGAAGACGGUUUUCGGAUUGUAAACUUCUGUUCUUAGUGAAGAAUAAUGACGGUAGCUAAUGAGCAAGCCACGGCUAACUACGUGCCAGCAGCCGCGGUAAUACGUAGGUGGCAAGCGUUGUCCGUAAUUACUGGGUGUAAAGGGAGCGCAGGCUGGAAGCCAAGUCAGCUGUGAAACCUACGGUAAUAACUUGUAGACUGCAGUUGAAACUGGUUUUGUUGAGUGAAGUAGAGGUGGGCGGAAAUGCGGGUGUAGCGGUGAAAUGCGUGGAUAUUCGGAGGAACAAGGGUGGCGAAGGCGGACAACUGGGCUUUAACUGACGCUGAGGCUCGAAAGUGUGGGGAGCAAACAGGAUUAGAUACGUGUAGUC
rnacentral:rRNA from 1 species